rnacentral:rRNA from 1 species
UACGGAGGGGCAAGCGUUAAUCGGAAUUACUGGGCGUAAAGCGCGCGUAGGCGGUUUGUUAAGUGAGAUGUGAAAGCCCAGGGCUCAACCUUGGAACUGCAUCUCAUACUGGCAGGCUAGAGUAUGGUAGAGGGAGGUAGAAUUCCACGUGUAGCGGUGAAAUGCGUAGAGAUGUGGAGGAAUACCAGUGGCGAAGGCGGCCUCCUGGACUAAUACUGACGCUGAGGUGCGAAAGCGUGGGGAGCAAACAGGAUUAGAACCCCCGGUAGUCC